UACAGAGGUCUCAAGCGUUGUUCGGAUUCAUUGGGCGUAAAGGGUGCGUAGGCGGCGCGGUAAGUCGGGGUGUGAAAUCUUGGGACUUAACUCCGAAACUGCAUUCGAUACUGCCGUGCUUGAGGACUGGAGAGGAGACUGGAAUUUACGGUGUAGCGGUGAAAUGCGUAGAUAUCGUAAGGAAGACCAGUGGCGAAGGCGGGGUCUCUGGACAGUUCCUGA
rnacentral:rRNA from 1 species